rnacentral:rRNA from 1 species
ACGAAGGAUGCAAGCGUUAUCCGGAUUCAUUGGGUUUAAAGGGAGCGUAGGUGGCCUUAUAAGUCAGUGGUGAAAUCUCUGGGCUUAACCCAGAAAUUGCCAUUGAUACUGUAGGGCUUGAGUACAGUUGCUGUGGGCGGAAUAUGACAUGUAGUGGUGAAAUACAUAGAGAUGUCAUAGAACACCGAUUGCGAAGGCAGCUCACAAAACUGUAACUGACACUGAGGCUCGAAAGUGUGGGGAUCAAACAGGAUUAGAUACCCUGGUAGUCCACACUGUAAACGAUGAUUACUCGCUGCUAGAGGGCAACUUUUAGUGGCUUAGCGAAAGCGAUAAGUAAUCCACCUGGGGAGUACGCCGGCAACGGUG